AACAAUACGGUGUGAGCAUAUCCUUAGUACAUACACCGUUCUCUCAACCAAAAAUGUAUUAUGUUUUUGCUGAUGUUUGGAUGUUCUUCGCUUCAUACCUGGAAGUCAUUUUCCUGAGAAAAACAGUUGUUGUCUUAUCAAAUGUAAAUUAUACCGGUGUCGAAAUAUAAGGAUAAAUGGCAACAAUGACUUCAGAUAAGCAUUGAAAUGAACCAAAAGGCAUAUCAUGGUGGAAGGAGUGACUCGAAUGAAUGGUCAAUUGACUAUCCAAGUGUUUUCAAAUAGUGUGACGAAGGCAAUAAUUUUCUGUGGAAACCAAAAUAUAAUUACUGCUUGCAAUUGGAAAGUGGCUUCAGAAGUAUUCUAAUUUUUCAAUGACUGGUUUGACUUGCUGAACACCUAACAAAAAUAUGAUAAGAACUUAGCAACUUAUGGAUUAUAUCUGAUGUCACAAAAUUAGUUAUUAGACAAAUUUACUGACAUUGUAUUUAAUAAUGUGAGAGUAUAAUGGAAAAAAGCUUAUUUUCCUUCCAGGAAGGUAAUAAUUAAGCAUACUUAUGAGUAGAAAAAAAAACCAGGACAUAGUUAAAACCUAAUUUAGUUUUCUAAAAAGAAAUUGGG